GUCUCAAACUCCUAGCCUCAAGCAAUCCUCCCACCUUGGCCUCCCAAAGUGCUGGGAUUACAAGUAUGAGCCCCUGCACUCAGCCAUGAAAACCUAUUGCCUUUUCUUUACUUUUGUUCUAAGACUUGCUAUGGCAAAAGUACUACAGGUAAUGGAAAGGAAUUCCAAUGUUCCAGCUUAUCAUGGGAGUAAUUGCAAACUCUAGGUAGAAUUUGUCUGUGGAAAGGAAGUUCUAGACCUGCUCGGCUAUUAAGUACCUGUGUAAACUUGGGCUAAUCACUUCUGGGUCUCAAUUGAAUUAAACCUAUCAUUUAAAGGGGUUGGACAUGAAAAUCCACUGCUCCAUUAUCUCAAACAGGAAAUUGACUUGGUUCCUCAUAUAAUUUACAAGAGCCACACACUUCAGUGCAACUUUUGUCUCCAAAACCCCACACAUGCAAAAGAUAAUCUAUCUCCCAGCAUACUGAGGAUUUUGGCACCUAUAUCAACUGCCUUAAAAUAAUGUUACUGACUGAAUAUGCAUACUGAAAGUUAUAUAAACACCAUUAAAACUGAGCAAAGGAGGCUUUCCCUCAUCGGUUGAACAGAUUCUUUCUGUUUGAUAGUUAUUUACAAGAUUUCUCCCUAUUGUCUCAUGCUUUGCACUUGGCUGCCUUAAGAUAAAAUUACAUGUCUGCUGAUGGGCACAUUGAGAAUCAAAAAGGAUCAGGAAUUGGAAAACUACUGUGUGCCAAGAGCUGACCUUUGUUCUGCAGCUGAACAAUGAGUGUGUGUGUGUGAGUGUGUGUGUGUGUGUGAGAGAAAUCCUGUAAACAAAAUUUCCUCCAGAGGGUAAAAAAUGCUUGCCAAGCAAACAUCUCAAGUUGAGAAUGACAUGACAACUCUUUUUUGAGAGCUAAGCACUGCCUGGGGCUUUUGCCUUCAGAGACCACAUCUGUUCUUGCAUGGUGGUGCACGUUGGCUUUGGAAUACCAAGGCUACAUAAUUUUAAAAUCAAGUGGUACUUGUGGUAUUUGGCCACUCAGAGCAAAGUAUAACACUCUUUUAAAGUGGUUUGGAUCCUAGGGGUGGGAAGAACGUCAUGUUCUGCUGUAAGAAAUCUCACCAAGGAGACAUGUAAACUCGAAGGAAUGUCAGCGACUUCUCAAGAUUGCCCUCUUCCACAGGUGCCAGAGACUUGGAGUCUUCCCUCUUUUUCAAAGGCUUCAGUGUAUGUACUUUGGGGCUGCUGGCUGCUUCCCUGAAGGAACAAUCAGAGUGUGUGAAUAAAUUCACACUCCAAAGAUAGUGGGUGUGAUCACAGAGGCGUUUCAGAAUAUAAGAAUGUAUUAGCUGAAGCAUUAGGUCAUGGUUGCUGGGGUUUGACCUGGAAAUGAAAGAGAACAAUCUCUCUGAACAUCCUAAAGCAAGUUUGCUCCUUAUACAGGCCAGAAUAUGGCAAGAAAAUAAUGAGCCUGUCAAGAUUACUUUACGUAAUUGGUCUCAUGACAUCAUGGCUGUACAUGAAGGCUCCCUGAUUGAAACUUGAAGAAAAAUAAGUAUAUUUACUCAGAGAGGACAUUAAAGUUGGAUUUUUCAAGUGCAAUGUAUUUAUAUUAAUAAAUACUGCUGCUAAUUUCAUGAGACUGACCAUUCCUUUAUUCCAGCGCUAAUUAAGUCUUUCAUCAUCGGGACGGCAGAAACAGAGCGAGUCUCGACAAAGCUAGUUGAUCCAUUUCGUUUUACAAAAGAUGUUAUGGCCCAUAUGAAAUUCAGCCCUAAAAAUGGCCUAGAAAGGAACAUGUGCAGCCCCAACAGAAAUCAAAUAGCAAAGCUGGGGAAGCAGCCUGAUUGACUUGGCCUUGGCCUUACCUCCUAGGGGUGCCUCCUACAGAGCCUGGGGCUGCUGGGGAAUCCAAGGGCCUCUGCAACAAGGCGGAUGCUCAGAUCCAGGGUGUCACACACAAAAAAAGAACAGAUGACAAGGGCUACUGGGAAAGGCCAGGGUUUAGUUAAUGGAUUCAUGGGUUGAAUAAUAAAAUUGUCUAUUUGGCAGUUGGCAAAGAGAGAAUAUUUAACUGAAAAGUUUCCUUCAGGGCUUCAGUGCUUGAGCAGCCAUUUUCAAGGCUGGUAGAAUAUGCAUGUCUGUACAUUGCAGGCUCAAGUACAAAGAUUUGAUAUUAAAUAUGGAGCACCAGAACUGAAGAAUCCCUUUUUGCAUGACCUUUUGUGGCGACUGGAAGAAGCGGGUAUACUCUGCAGAGGUGGAAGAUUGUAGCAGCUCCACAAAACCGCAUGAAAGCAGAUAUUCAGUCACUUGGCUGGAAUGCAGCUCCACACAGCUGGUCUGGCGCCGUGCCCCACAGCAUCUGAAGUCUAUCUGUACAUUGGUGUUUCCCUGCAACAGGGGCUUCUCUUUUCAACUACAAGUAUCCCUGAGAGGCUACCAUCAUGCACCCCUUGGUUUGAAUUCUUUCAUUCCCAUGCUUUCCUCCUAACCCCCACUGGUAGGAAGGUCCUUAGACAGAGCGUCUCUGAUGGGUUGAGGAGGUACAAUUCGCUGGGGGCAUUUGCAGCUUGGAGCAUUACCCAAGCAGAGGACCCAGACCUGGGACACAACACAAGGGAAGGAGACAUGGGCACCUCGGGUGACAUUCUUGCCUGGGGCAUAUAGUCUGCUGUCAGGCCUCCUGAGAGCACUCACUGAAGGCUGUGUUGGGUUGGAAUGGCAGUGCCUUGGUGCUCCUUGGUCUUGUUUCUGCAGAGACACCCAGUUUUCCAUUUGUGGUUUUGCCUGCAUCUUAUGGACGUGCUCUGCCUUUCUGACCUCUGGAUUACGGAGGCAGGCGCAGCAUGCACGUUAGGGAGGUAAUUUCCUAGCUGUGAUGAAAGGCCUCUGGCUCAGAGGAAAAGCAAGGCCUUUGAAAUUGGACAUCUACUCCACAGCCUCUGGGCCAUUAUUCGAUAAUGUGAACAAAUCAGAUUUUUUUUUUUAAUUUCUAAUUCGGUUUGCCAAGAGAACUCUUGCCCUGUACUGUGGGCCUUUAGGAAAACAAUGUAUAUCCCCAAGAGGCCACUACACUUCUCAGGAGCCACUUCUCUUUCCUUGCAGAAGCAGGGCCUGGGUCAUGCCCCACUGUUCAGCACAAGACGUGAGGAAGUUCCUGUGGAAAGAGCGUUGGAAUUCCUGAGCUCCAGCCGGGUCCAAUUUCAAUUCCAGAUGCAGGAGGCUGAGAUGCAGGCUCCUGCUCCCCACAUUCAUGCCCAUCAGCAAGCCAUGCCAUAUCCAGCAGACAGAUAGCUGUUCAGUGCACAGAAUACCCCUCCAGGCCAGCAGCAGCUGUCACCCCUCUUCAGUCAUCUGCUCUUCAGACACUUCUGUGGACAGAGCCCAGAUAACUUGAUUAAGGUAAGAUGAAAUGAGAAACAUUUGCUCCUUUAAAAUCGCUAACAUCUGUCCUGGCCAGCAGAGCCACGGCUCUUUGUAACUGAGGAAAGACAAUCCCUGAGAAGUCUGGGUGUGGGAACGAUGGCGCUCCCGGUGCACCCACCUCCCACCUGCCUGCCCCUGGGAGCCUGCAGGGAAGACAAGGCAUUGCUGUACAAGGACCUGGACUUGAGUCUUGACUCCACCAAGACUCUGUGUGCCCUUGAGGCAGGUGGUGACCUCUCUGGGCUUCAGUUUCCUCGCAGGUUUGCCGGGAGGAGGAGCUAGAGGAUGCGAGCAGGUGCAGAAGACAUGAGGCGGUGCUCCAUUUGCCCCUGCAAAGACCUCCUUCCUUCCUGUGAGCCCGGAAGGAAGAGAGUGAAACCACCGGCACAUGGCCACAGCCUGACCUUAUGGAGGUGGCCUCAGUGGCUGCGGAUGGGUCUGGCUUUAGUGUCUGGUCAAGUGAAUAAAUGACUUUCAAGAACUGUGCACAGGGAGGUGUUUGGCAGGUGGACCCAGGGCUGGCCCCAGAGAGAGACCACUGUGAUGCCGCUUCAUAGCUGAUGACAUGAGGCCGAGACGCAUCUGAAGAUAUGACAAUUACUCAUUGCCUGUCCAAGUCAGUGAGGACACAGGGAAGGAGCCAGGGAUGGCGGUUCUGGCAUUUCCCACGUCUACAAGAUGGCAUCACCUAACACGGCCGCAGCUUCCCCACUUCUGUGCAGGCUCCAGACUGGGUCCCUAUGGUGGAUUAAUGAUGGCCACAAUUCCUUGUCAUUCUCCCAUCAAGAGGUGGAGUUUCCUUCCCUCCCAUGGACCUGGGCUGGCCACAACAGCUUAACCAAAGGAAGGAGGAAGAAGUGACGCUGGGCCAGCUUCUGGCUAAGUGUUAAGAAGGCUUCUGCUUCCGCACUUUGAGGAGCCCUGAGCCUCCAUGUGAGAAGUCCCCAGCUCCCUUCACCAGAAAGGCAGCAUGGAGACACCUCAUAGAGAGGCCACAUAGGGAGCCAAGGCCUUGAGACGACGUGGAGAGGCAGCUGUUCUGGGCCCCUGGGAGAGCGUCCAGGGGACUCCAGCCCAGGCACCUUCUGCCUGCAACCUCCCAAGAGACCCCAAGUGAGACCAGCCAACAAUCGCCCAACUGAGCCUAGUCAACCUGAGGAACCAUGGCAGGGAAUAAGCGCUUGCUGUUCCAAGCUGUUAAGUUCGGGGUGGUUUAUUACGCAGCAGUGGAUCGGUAAGACCUCUCCAUUACUGUCUUUAGGUAACUUUCUGCUGCCUUCGUCUAAGAGCCGGGCCCCAGAAAUCGGAAAUGCUCCUGCAUCAGGGUCCCUGUAGGGCAUCUCCACAGCAUCCCUUGUGGUGCACGUGUCUUCAGGUCACCUCCGACUUUUAUGUGUCACACAAUAUUCAAGUGUAGAGGAUGCAGGAGGCACCAGAUGGACCUCGAAUUGUGAAAUCCCAGGAGCCCAUCUCCUGGUUCUUGUGGGCAGGCUUAAAACACAAACAAGCCCUCCUGAUUUGUUUUCAUCCUCUUCCCUCUCCUGGGACCGAUUCUGAUUCAGCCCCUCGGAAGUGCCGUCUGUUCUGGCCACUCAGUGCCCUUCAGGCCUGGCUUGUGCUCACGCUGUCGGCCUGGGGCCCACUCCCAGCAUCAGGGCAGCUUGGUUCUUGCAGCCUCUUGAGUGCGGACUCAGCCUCCUCAAAUCCCUGCAAGGCCUCCUGCUUCAGGGCAGCUCUGACGGGGUGGCCCGAGCCGCGUCCUCACCAGCACAUCCUGAUGAACCCAGCCAGCCUCCAGACUCCCCUAACCACUGGCACUCCCUGACAGGAGCCCCAGUCUUCCAGAUCAACAGGGAGAUACUAAAAACUCUCAUUCUGAACCAAGUAACUCUCUCUAAAAGAGAGCCAAGGCCCCUUCACUCACUUUGGCCCCUACUCUAAGCUUUGGCCUUGGAGGGACAAGUAUGGUUUAUAGAUAUUUUUAGGAACAAUUUCAAAUGUACACGAAAGCAGAGAGAGAUGCAGAUUAGACUCCCAUGGGCCGUCCCCAGGGCUCAUGGCCAUUCUCAUUUCCCAUCGCCUAGCCUCUGUCUCUGCACUCCAGGUUACUCUGAGGCAAAUCCUGGCUAUCACAUCAUUUCGUUGUAAAUAUUGAGGCACGCAGCUCUAGAAGCGAGGACUCCCCUCUUCAGCUACAGUACCAUCGUCCACACUUUCUGAGAAUCUCAUCUGGGCCGGGCCCUGCCCCAAAUGCCUCCCAGGUAAGGCCCACUGUGGAAUGUGCCAGAAAUGAGACCGUAGGGCUGGCUCUGAGGCAUCAGCUCCCCGGUUUGGGGGACUCCAUAGAACAUGGUAGGGUCAGAAGCCAGAGGAGAGUGAGAGAAUCACAGACACACACGCAGGACGAGAUUCCGAAAGCCGACUAGACUUGGAUGCAGCCAUGGUGCUGCCCUGUGCACCGACACCCCACUCGUCACCUUCCCCACCAGAGCUGCCUGGCCUGGUUUUAGUGUCCUUGGGUGGCCUCAGAGCUGCAGACUCCCUGAAGGUAAAAAUGGCUUAGUUGUUCACUGUCACCCUGAGAAUAGUGCAGAUUCCAGUGAACAGCCAGGCCCAGCAAGGGCCAUCUGCCCGUGGACCCCGCACCAGCGUCCCUGUGCUGCCCUCCUCGGCGCUACCCAGAAUGCCUCACUCAGAAGCAUGGCGGGACUCCUGGCUUUCCCAUACAUGUGAAACAGGGUCCAGAGCAGGGGAAAUAAAUACAAGAAAUUAAAGGCUGUUUUCAUUAAGUAAAAUUUUGAAAACAAGUUAGCUUGCAGAUUCCUAAAACACAGUAAUUAUGCCUUUAUGCUGUUUUGUGUCUCUCAUAGUUUCUAUACCAACAUUUCUAACCUUGACACUAUGGAAUUUCAAGCCAGACCCUUCUUUGUUGUGGGGGGCCAUUCUGAGCAUUGUAGAUCCCUAGUCUGUACCCCCGGAUGCUAGCAGCAGCCUUUCUUCUCCAAGCUGCGACAACCAAAAAUGUCUGCAGACGUUGCCAAAUGUGCCCUGGGAGGCAAAGCUACCCUUUGGUUGACAGCCGCUGAUCUAUACAACAAAGAUGGUCGCUACGGUUGGAGACAGAAAUAAGUCGACCUACUGUGAUAUGUUUCCCAUAGACUCUUUCUGAGAACUCAGGUCGUAGUUUUACAGGACUCAACCAAAGAUUUUUUAUCCAUUGUUUGGAUUUUUUUUCUCAUUCCAUUAUUUUUCCUUUUUUAUUGCGCCCCUAAAAGAGGCAAAACACCCUUCACAGUGUCCACAUUGCAGCAAAAGCUAUAAUAUCUGUGGGAUGAUUUACAUCUAGCUAAAAAUUUAGAAGUUUCUGGAGCAAUCAGUCCUCGCUUUCGCUGAUGAUUUCAGUAGAUUGCUUGGCCCUGCCCUGCUCUCAGGAAGUCCAGAUGUCUUCCUUGAGCUCGCAGAUACUGGUGCUGGGGGAAAGGUCCCAGGUUAAUGAUCACCAGGCCAAGGCAGGCUGGCUGAGUAGCUACAGAGAUGCUCACCAUGGGCCUCAGGGUUGAGGCUCCAGGAGCUCAGGUCUCAGGCCAAUGCCAUGUGGCCACAGUGCCUGCUGAGGGUGCAGCCCCGCGAAUCCCCAGAUACAGUGCAAGGGCUUCCUUAUAGAUGAAUUGUCACUUUAGUAAGCAGAGAGCAGGGCCAUGAGGUAAUGGACUGAGAACAGGCAGGGCUGGUGAAGAAAUAGAGCAAGGAAUGGGUAUCUGUAGCCCCUUGGAAGAAGCAGCAGAGAGCUCCAUGGGAGUGGGAGGCCGGAACGGAGCGGCUGAUCUGCCUCCCAAAACUGUGCCUUAGACCGAACCUCUCUCCAGCCCGAAAAUAGGCCAGGAGGGCUGGACUGCCUGUCCCUGCAGCCUCUUUAGGGUGGGGGUGGCAAGAAUGUUCCUCUGCAGCGACACAUCCAAGCCUCUCCCACGUUGUCAGCCACUCUGCUUUGAGGCUGAGCUCCAACCCCUCCCAGGAAGGAGGAAGAAAAGACUCAUGGCGGAGACCAAGUCCCAGCAGGCAUCUCCUUAGGACAGAAGAUGGAAAGUUAACCUUUUCUGCUUGCUGAGCAGGCAGAGAAAGGAAGGCUGUUGUGAAGAUUGGGACCCUGGGCACACUCCGUGCUUGGGGACACGACGUGCCCUUGACCACAGUGCACAGGGCAGAGGGUUGGAAAGCACUGACCGUUCUGCACAGGGGAGCCAUUCAGGGCCCUGGGUUCCCACAGGGCUGGCCAGUCAGCGCCUUGCGGGUGCCCAGCUGGGCUGGGAGUGUCCCCUCUCCCACGGUGGUAAACAAGGCUGGCCUCGGGAGGAGCUGCACAGACGGCCCGGUACACCCAGCAGGCCGAGCCCAGCUCAUUCCACUGAGCCGUGGGGGCCCUGGGGACUUAACCAGAAGCCCGUGUCUGCUAACAGAAGGCACUUUGUUUCCUGGAGUGGGCGGCACUUUCUUCUCCUCUCCCUUCACAG